CUCGUGUUCACUUUGGCAUUGUGAUGGUCAAAACAUGGCUUGUUUCUGCUUCCUUUGCUUGGCUGGAGACUUCUCUCUGUCAUGGAAAUUUUAUAGACAAAGAGGGUAAAAAUUGGUAUAUAGAAAUUCAUGGAAAAAGUCCUGAAAAAUGAUCAAUGAGGAAUGCAAACAGGAAAAGAAUCAAUGCAUUGAAACGUGCUGCUGAAGGAGGGCUCUAUGAAUACCAUGAAACUGCUUGAUGAAAUAAAUGAAGCGAUCCUGGAACUAUACUAUGAACUCUCACUAGAAGCCAAGAUGAUUUGACCGAGGCUGUAGCACUUUGAAUAUAUCAUCCAACAUCA